CCUACGCGUGGCAGCAGUGAGGAAUAUUGGUCAAUGGGCGCGAACCUGAACCAGCCAAGUCGCGUGGGGGAGGACGGCCCUACGGGUUGUAAACCUCUUUUGCCGGGGAGCAACGGGCGUCACGUGUGGCGCCACUGAGAGUACCCGGAGACAAAGCAUCGGCUAACUCCGUGCCAGCAGCCGCGGUAAUACGGAGGAUGCGAGCGUUAUCCGGAUUGAUUGGGGUUAAAGGGUGCGUAGGCGGAUCGGUAAGUCAGUGGUCAAAUUGAGGGGCUCAACCCCUUCCCGCCAUUGAAACUGGCGUUCUUGAGUGGAAGAGAAGUAUGCGGAAUGCGUGGUGUAGCGGUGAAAUGCAUAGAUAGCACGCAGAACCCCGAUUGCGAAGGCAGCAUGCCGGCUUCCGACUGACGCUGAAGCACGAAAGCGUGGGGAUCGAACAGGAUUAGAUACCCCAGUAGUC
rnacentral:rRNA from 1 species